CCGUGGGUUUAAGGCACAUGGGUUUCCUAAGCACUUGUUCCUGGGUGCUCCCUCCACGAGGAGCACUCCCGUGGGUCCCGCGGGUUUAAGGCACAUGGGUUUCCUAAGCACUUGUUCCUGGGUGCUCCCUCCACAAGGAGCACUCCCGUGGGUACCGCGGGUUUAAGGCACAUGGGUUUCCUAAGCACUUGUUCCUGGGUGCUCCCUCCACGAGGAGCACUCCUGGUGGUUACUGGGGGUUUAAGAAGCCACAGGGUUUUCCUAAGCACUUGCAACAUUUUGCAUUCUCUCUGCUAACAGGCGGGCAUUCCCGAUGGACGCGCCUCAGCACCUGGGUUUCCAGUGUUGUCCGGCUGCUGGGCCAGCGGGGCUCCCACUGAGACCCUCAGCUGCACUGUCCACUUGCUGAGGCUGAGCACUUGGGUGCACCAGCUGUCUGUCCCUGUGGAGCCGGGUUCUCCACGCCGUUGAGUUCCGGAAUUCUCCUGUUGUCAGCAUGAGGUUUCGGCAGGUUUGCAGCACCAUUCACAGGGAGCACCUGGUGCUGUCUGCUGGCCUUGACCAGGCUCUGUUCCGUCCAGCGAUCCCUUGCCUGUGGCUGGACAUGGCAGCUUUAAGCCGGCGGAAGGGACUCCGAGCGUGUGCGCCCGUUGGAGUCAGGACAGCCUAAUUGAAGGCCCGUCUCCGUCCAGACUCCAGGAAUUACAGCCCAGCGCCGGCACUUUCAUUUCUGAGCUCCUGUUUCGUAAUUAGAGCUUGAGGAAAUGGCACACCGUACGCGGGAGUGAGUCUGCCUGCAGCCGGGACAGUCAUCCUGGAAGGAGGAGGUCCAGAGCUCAGACGCGGAGGCACAGUGCGGGCCAGAGCGCGUGCCUGCAGGGCAGAGGGUGGCUCCUCUCUGGGAACUGGUUUCACUGCCCCGAGCACCUGCAGCUGCUGCUGGCUCACGCAGGCCCUGUAUAGAGUGACCACCAGGAGCCACGGGAAGAAGUCCUCGCGGGGUUGUGGAGGGACGCGGUGUGGUCAGAGCAGAGGACUGGUCGACGCCCACCCGGGCAGGCCCCUCUGCUGUGUCCCUUCCUUCCCCUCCCUCUGCCUGUCUUCCGCACACUGCUCCCAGUGCCCUCAGCCCCAAGCCCUGUGGACUAGAGGCAGAGCUGGCCCAGCCACUGCUGAGGCAGAAGGACCGUGACCUGGGGACUGGGCUGACGUAAAAGUCCCUGAAAAUUCACUGCAGAUGGGUCCUGUGCUGCAGCAGGUUAUGCCGGUGCUCAGGAUGCCCACAUCGCAUGUGGGGGUGACUGUUCAAGCCCCAGCUGCUCCACUUCCAGUCCAGCUCCUGCUCCGUGGACGAUGGCCCAAGGACUGAGGUCCCUGCCACCCAUCUGUGAGACCCAGAUGGGGUCCUGGCUCCUGGCUUUGGCUUGGCCCAGCCCCGGCUGCUGCACAUUUGGGGAAUGAACCUGUAGAUGGAAGAUGGGUCUCUCCCCCCCUCCCCACCUCCUUCUCCCUCCC